ACACUCCUGCGGGAGGCAGCAGUGGGGAAUAUUGCACAAUGGGCGCAAGCCUGAUGCAGCCAUGCCGCGUGUAUGAAGAAGGCCUUCGGGUUGUAAAGUACUUUCAGCGGGGAGGAAGGUGUUGAGGUUAAUAACCUCAGCAAUUGACGUUACCCGCAGAAGAAGCACCGGCUAACUCCGUGCCAGCAGCCGCGGUAAUACGGAGGGUGCAAGCGUUAAUCGGAAUUACUGGGCGUAAAGCGCACGCAGGCGGUCUGUCAAGUCGGAUGUGAAAUCCCCGGGCUCAACCUGGGAACUGCAUUCGAAACUGGCAGGCUAGAGUCUUGUAGAGGGGGGUAGAAUUCCAGGUGUAGCGGUGAAAUGCGUAGAGAUCUGGAGGAAUACCGGUGGCGAAGGCGGCCCCCUGGACAAAGACUGACGCUCAGGUGCGAAAGCGUGGGGAGCAAACAGGAUUAGAAACCCGAGUAGUCCCA
rnacentral:rRNA from 1 species